AGUGCAAUAUAGAAGGAACAGGCGCCCCCUAGUGCGCUAUAGAGGGAACAUGGUCCCCCUAGUGCCUAUAGAGGGAACAUGUCCCCCUAGUGCGCUAUAGAGGAACAGGGCCCCCCUAGUGCGCUAUAGAGGGAACAGGGCCCACUAGUGCACUAUAGAGGGAACAGGGUCCCCCUAGUGCGCUAUAGAGGGAACAGGGCCCCCUAGUGCGCUAUAGAGGGAACAGGGUGCUAUUUUGGAUGCAGAUAUUUGUCUGUGCCUCAGCCUUUCUUCAGUGUCUACGUUUCUGUCCGUCCGUCUGAACGUGAUUCCGUAACGAAGAAACGUCUCGACGAUCCAGUACGGAAUAAAAGGAUCAUCUCUUCUAGAACUUUCACCUGACUAUCAUGGUGCUUGAAGUCAUUCAGUUUUAUUUUUGUAACUUUCUCAUAAUCAAUUUGUCAUCAGUUGUGUCUGUCACUCCAAAAGGUCUGAAAUGAAUAAAACAAAUCAAA